UAGGGAAUAUUGGACAAUGGGCGCAAGCCUGAUCCAGCCAUGCCGCGUGAGUGAAGAAGGCCCUCGGGUUGUAAAGCUCUUUUGUCCGGGAAGAAAAGCAUCGGGCUAAUACCUCGGUGUUCUGACGGUACCGGAAGAAUAAGCACCGGCUAACUUCGUGCCAGCAGCCGCGGUAAUACGAAGGGUGCAAGCGUUACUCGGAAUUACUGGGCGUAAAGCGUGCGUAGGUGGUUUGUUAAGUCUGAUGUGAAAGCCCUGGGCUCAACCUGGGAAUGGCAUUGGAAACUGGCGGACUCGAGUGCGGUAGAGGGGUGUGGAAUUCCCGGUGUAGCAGUGAAAUGCGUAGAGAUCGGGAGGAACACCAGUGGCGAAGGCGACACCCUGGACCAGCACUGACACUGAGGCACGAAAGCGUGGGGAGCAAACA
rnacentral:rRNA from 1 species